rnacentral:rRNA from 1 species
CCUGUGAUGACGAGUGGCGGAUCGGUGCGUAACGCGUAUGCAACCUGCCCCUUAUUGGAGGAUAACGUUGUGAAAACGGCGAUAAUAUUCCAUGUGUACCCUGGGGGGCAUCCCUUGGGGUAUAAAGAUUCAUUGAUAAGGGAUGGGCAUGCGUAUCAUUAGGUAGUUGGCGGGGUAACGGCCCACCAAGCCGACGAUGAUUAGGGGUCCUGAGAGGGCAACCCCCCACACUGGAACUGAGACACGGUCCAGACUCCUACGGGAGGCAGCAGUAGGGAAUAUUGGGCAAUGGAGGCAACUCUGACCCAGCCAUGCCGCGUGGAAAAGGAAGGCGGUCCUAUGGAUUGUAAACUUCUUUUGUUGCAGAGUAAAGGCGGGGACGCGUCCCCGUGUGAGAGUAUGCGACGAAUAAGCAUCGGCUAACUCCGUGCCAGCCGCGGC